ACAAGUUUAUGGUACAUGUAUCAUUUCAGCAAUCAAUUAAUCAAAACAUAUUUCAGAUUUCGAAAUUUAUUUUAUAAAUGCAUACAUGAUUUAAUAACAAUCCGGAUUACUGUAGAAUUUCGUCUUGGAACAGGACGUUUGUGCUAUUUUCGCCUGUAACACGAUAGGACAGUUGCGCUCCAAACACUAUGAACAUUUGCGCCUUAUAUAUACAUCUUUUUAAAUUAGACCAGACAUUUGCACUUUUUACCUUUACUCGUUUACCUGUAAUUUC
rnacentral:lncRNA from 1 species